AUACGGAGGGUGCAAGCGUUACUCGGAAUCACUGGGCGUAAAGCGCGCGCAGGCGGCUAUUUAAGUUGGGUGUGAAAGCCUACGGCUCAACCGUAGAACUGCAUCCAAAACUAUUUAGCUAGAGUGUGGGAGAGGAAGAUGGAAUUAGUUGUGUAGGGGUAAAAUCCGUAGAGAUAACUAGGAAUACCAAAAGCGAAGGCAAUCUUCUGGAACACUACUGACGCUGAGGCGCGAAAGCGUGGGGAGCAAACAGGAUUAGAUACCCUAGUAGUCC
rnacentral:rRNA from 1 species